GACGAACGCUGGCGGCGUGCCUAAUACAUGCAAGUAGAACGCAGAAGGAGGAGCUUGCUCUUCUGGAUGAGUUGCGAACGGGUGAGUAACGCGUAGGUAACCUGCCUGGUAGCGGGGGAUAACUAUUGGAAACGAUAGCUAAUACCGCAUAACAGUAGAUGUUGCAUGACAUUUGCUUAAAAGGUGCAAUUGCACCACUACCAGAUGGACCUGCGUUGUAUUAGCUAGUUGGUGGGGUAACGGCUCACCAAGGCGACGAUACAUAGCCGACCUGAGAGGGUGAUCGGCCACACUGGGACUGAGACACGGCCCAGACUCCUACGGGAGGCAGCAGUAGGGAAUCUUCGGCAAUGGACGGAAGUCUGACCGAGCAACGCCGCGUGAGUGAAGAAGGUUUUCGGAUCGUAAAGCUCUGUUGUAAGAGAAGAACGAGUGUGAGAGUGGAAAGUUCACACUGUGACGGUAUCUUACCAGAAAGGGACGGCUAACUACGUG
rnacentral:rRNA from 1 species